rnacentral:rRNA from 1 species
CCUACGGGAGGCAGCAGUGAGGAAUAUUGCCCAAUGGACGAAAGUCUGAGGCAGCAACGCCGCGUGAGCGAUGAAGGCCUUCGGGUUGUAAAGCUCUUUUCUGGGGGAAGAGGAAGGACGGUACCUCAGGAAUAAGUCACGGCUAACUACGUGCCAGCAGCCGCGGUAAUACGUAGGUGGCGAGCGUUAUCCGGAUUUACUGGGCGUAAAGCGCGUGUAGGCGGUUUCGUAAGUCGGAUGUGAAAGCUCCUGGCUCAACUGGGAGAGGCCAUUCGAUACUGCGGGACUUGAGGACGGGAGAGGGACGUGGAAUUCCCGGUGUAGUGGUGGAAUGCGUAGAUAUCGGGAGGAACACCAGUGGCGAAGGCGACGUCCUGGCCCGCACCUGACGCUAAGACGCGAAAGCGUGGGUAGCAAACGGGCUUAGAUACCCCGGUAGUCCACGCUGUAAACGGUGGAUACUAGGUGUUGGUGGCUAUCGUCAUCAGUGCCGUAGCUAACGCGUUAAGUAUCCCGCCUGGGGACUACGGCCGCAAGGUUAAAACUCAAAGGAAUU